UGCAGAGAAUCAUAUUUCUUCCGGCAUGUCGCCAGCUGACAGAGACAAAAGCUGACAAAUGGUACCAGGCACUUUCCCAGGCUCAGUCUUGAUAACCAUAGAGAGGCCUCUGGAAGGUGGAGGACGGUGUGAAAUCUCGUCUGUGGCAGCCCUGUGGAAACAACAAAGCACUCCACAAGUGUAAGGGAUGACAGCUGUGAUUUCUGGCAUGAGCCACAUCCUCUACAACUUCACUGGCCUUUGAAGACCAUCUGCAGGCUCCCGCCUGAGCACCCUUGGCCACCUCUUGGACCCCGAGGUAUGCACAUCAGAGCACUGUCCACCUUUGAGAGGAUGGAUCUGGGGAAGCGUUCAUCAGAGGCCCGAGAAGAAGGCUUGGGGCCAUUUCAGCAGAGAAUCCCAGGGCCCCUGGUACCCAGAGCCUGACCUGGAAGGCAUUCCUUGUCCUUGGCUCCCCUUGGCUCCUUGUUCUCACUCAGUGGGGAGGGGCCCAGCCAGAAGAAUGCCUGAGCGGGUCCUGUGAAGCAGAGGGGACAGGACGGAGACCUCGACUGCCUGGAUCCAAGGGUGAGACUGCCUUUGCAUUUAGUGCUGGGUGCCACUGCCAGCCUGCGUCAGCUGGGAAGCCAAGGGGAGAAGUUUUGGCUGUCCUGGGCCCAGAGGACCAAUAAGCACAUCCAUGGACCCAGUGAGAGACCCCAAAGUGGAACUCAGGGGGACCAGAUGACCUUGCCACCUAAAAAGUUUUUCUCUGAUGCUAAAACUUGAUUUGUUCUGUGUUUCGUUUUAAAAAUUAUUUUUAAGUCUAAAAUUCCUCCGUUCUUGCUUCACAUUACCAAAACAACAUUCAUCUGGGAAAUCUCAAAGCAACUAGAAACAAUUUUACAAACAGAAGAAUGAGUUACAAGCUCGGAAGUUGGGGAGAGGGACAAAUGGCCUUGAGGCGAGAUGUCCCUGUUUUCAGCCCCUCCCCCUGAUGCUGAGGCCUCACUCUCUAGGAAAGGCAGAACGGUAACCAUUGUGUGUAGCUCCGGGUCUGGAAUAGCUAAGACCUGAAUGAACACGUUAGAGUUUGGAUUUAUAAGGACUAGAAUUUCCAAGAGAAAAUAAGCCCUAU
rnacentral:lncRNA from 1 species